rnacentral:rRNA from 1 species
AUUGAACGCUGGCGGCAGGCCUAACACAUGCAAGUCGAGCGGAUGAAGGGAGCUUGCUCCUGGAUUCAGCGGCGGACGGGUGAGUAAUGCCUAGGAAUCUGCCUGGUAGUGGGGGAUAACGUCCGGAAACGGGCGCUAAUACCGCAUACGUCCUGAGGGAGAAAGUGGGGGAUCUUCGGACCUCACGCUAUCAGAUGAGCCUAGGUCGGAUUAGUUAGUUGGUGGGGUAAAGGCCUACCAAGGCGACGAUCCGUAACUGGUCUGAGAGGAUGAUCAGUCACACUGGAACUGAGACACGGUCCAGACUCCUACGGGAGGCAGCAGUGGGGAAUAUUGGACGAUGGGCGAAAGCCUGAUCCAGCCAUGCCGCGUGUGUGAAGAAGGUCUUCGGAUUGUAAAGCACUUUAAGUUGGGAGGAAGGGCAGUAAGUUAAUACCUUGCUGUUUUGACGUUACCAACAGAAUAAGCACCGGCUAACUUCGUG